rnacentral:rRNA from 1 species
GACGAACGCUGGCGGCGUGCUUAACACAUGCAAGUCGAACGGAAAGGCCCUUCGGGGGACGCGAGUGGGGAACGGGAGCGGAAGACGAAGAUGAUCUUACCUGCCCUUUGAGAUAAGGAUGGGAUACUGGAACUAAGACUAAUACGGACCACGCGCUCCAGGUGGAGGGUGGGGAAGCGUUUGUUUCGGCGGUUGGGGAUGGACCCGCGGCUUAUCAGCUUGUUGGUGGGGUAGUGGCCUACCAAGGCGUUGACGGGUAGCCGGCCUGAGAGGGUGACCGGCCACACUGGGACUGAGAUACGGCCCAGACUCCUACGGGAGGCAGCAGUGGGGAAUAUUGCACAAUGGGCGCAAGCCUGAUGCAGCGACGCCGCGUGAGGGAUGACGGCCUUCGGGUUGUAAACCGCUUUCGCUAGUGACGAAGCGUAAGUGACGGUAAUUAGAGAAGAAGCACCGGCUAACUACGUG